UACGUAUGGAGCAAGCGUUAUCCGGAUUUACUGGGUGUAAAGGGAGCGCAGACGGCAGGGCAAGUCUGAUGUGAAAGUCCGGGGCUCAACCCCGGGACUGCAUUGGAAACUGUCCGGCUAGAGUGCAGGAGAGGUAAGUGGAAUUCCUAGUGUAGCGGUGAAAUGCGUAGAUAUUAGGAGGAACACCAGUGGCGAAGGCGGCUUACUGGACUGUAACUGACGUUGAGGCUCGAAAGCGUGGGGAGCAAACAGG
rnacentral:rRNA from 1 species